UGGGGAAUAUUGCACAAUGGGCGCAAGCCUGAUGCAGCCAUGCCGCGUGUGUGAAGAAGGCCUUCGGGUUGUAAAGCACUUUCAGCGAGGAGGAAGGUGGUGAGCUUAAUACGCUCAUCAAUUGACGUUACUCGCAGAAGAAGCACCGGCUAACUCCGUGCCAGCAGCCGCGGUAAUACGGAGGGUGCAAGCGUUAAUCGGAAUUACUGGGCGUAAAGCGCACGCAGGCGGUUUGUUAAGUCAGAUGUGAAAUCCCCGGGCUCAACCUGGGAACUGCAUUUGAAACUGGCAAGCUAGAGUCUCGUAGAGGGGGGUAGAAUUCCAGGUGUAGCGGUGAAAUGCGUAGAGAUCUGGAGGAGUACCGGUGGCGAAGGCGGCCCCCUGGACGAAGACUGACGCUCAGGUGCGAAAGCGUGGGGCAGCAAACAGGAUUAGAUACCCUGGUAGUCCACGCUGUAAACGAUGUCGAUUUUGGAGGUUGUGCCCUUGAGGCGUGGCUUCCGGAGCUAACGCGUUAAAUCGACCGCCUGGGGAGUACGGCCGCAAGGUUAAAACUUAAAGGAAUUGACGGGGUC
rnacentral:rRNA from 1 species